rnacentral:rRNA from 1 species
CAGCAGCCGCGGUAAUACGAAGGGUGCAAGCGUUAAUCGGAAUUACUGGGCGUAAAGCGUGCGUAGGCGGUGAGUUAAGUCUGCUGUGAAAUCCCCGGGCUCAACCUGGGAAUGGCAGUGGAUACUGGCUCGCUAGAGUGUGUCAGAGGAUGGUGGAAUUCCCGGUGUAGCGGUGAAAUGCGUAGAGAUCGGGAGGAACAUCAGUGGCGAAGGCGGCCAUCUGGGACAACACUGACGCUGAGGCACGAAAGCGUGGGGAGCAAACAGGAUUAGAUACCCGCGUAGUCCCUGUCUCUAUACA